AAGUAUUAAUAAUUGUUUGAAUUGUAUGCGAGUCUAAGCAUAUUUCCCCAUGGUGCCUCAAAAGCCAUUUAUUUUGGUACCUCAUAGCGGGGAUGGAACUCUCCACCGGGGGCCCAGCCGGGCUGCUGGUGACUAACAGAGAGCGCUUCAUUCAGAGGAGCUGGAGCAAAGGGUUUCCAUUUACCCCGUGUACAGCAGAAAGAAGAUACUUUCUGCUCCCCAGCAACACAGAAGAGGUUUUGUUUCCUGCUAACACUUCUUCUCAGCCUCGCGCUGACCACAACUAACAUGGGCUGCGCGACACACGCCGGUGUUCUCUAUGAUGGGCGGUUGCCUUUUCUGAGGCUCAGAACCGCUUGGGGAGUGGCCAAGAAUGGCUCCCAUUAUGAGUGGAAAAGCUGACUCGGGAAGACAAAUAUAGAUGAGAAUCAGCUUA